GGCGGGUCUCCCCGCAUGGCUACGCCGUGAACCUGGUCAGGUCCGGAAGGAAGCAGCCACAGCGGAAGAUGCCAGUGCCGGGGGUCGGGCUCGCCACC
rnacentral:SRP_RNA from 1 species